rnacentral:rRNA from 1 species
AGUGAACGCUGGCGGUAGGCCUAACACAUGCAAGUCGAACGGCAGCACAGUAAGAGCUUGCUCUUACGGGUGGCGAGUGGCGGACGGGUGAGGCAUACAUCGGAAUCUACUUUUUCGUGGGGGAUAACGUAGGGACACUUACGCUAAUACCGCAUACGACCUACGGGUGAAAGCAGGGGAUCUUCGGACCUUGCGCGAUUGAAUGAGCCGAUGUCGGAUUAGCUAGUUGGCGGGGUAAAGGCCCACCAAGGCGACGAUCCGUAGCUGGUCUGAGAGGAUGAUCAGCCACACUGGAACUGAGACACGGUCCAGACUCCUACGGGAGGCAGCAGUGGGGAAUAUUGGACAAUGGGCGCAAGCCUGAUCCAGCAAUACCGCGUGGGUGAAGAAGGCCUUCGGGUUGUAAAGCCCUGUUGUUGGGAAAGAAAAGCAGCAGGUGAAUACCCCGCUGUUCUGACGGUACCCAAAGAAUAAGCACCGGCUAACUUCGUG